GAUAAACGCUGGCGGCGUGCCUAAUACAUGCAAGUCGAGCGAACGGACGAGAAGCUUGCUUCUCUGAUGUUAGCGGCGGACGGGUGAGUAACACGUGGAUAACCUACCUAUAAGACUGGGAUAACUUCGGGAAACCGGAGCUAAUACCGGAUAAUAUUUUGAACCGCAUGGUUCAAAAGUGAAAGACGGUCUUGCUGUCACUUAUAGAUGGAUCCGCGCUGCAUUAGCUAGUUGGUAAGGUAACGGCUUACCAAGGCAACGAUGCAUAGCCGACCUGAGAGGGUGAUCGGCCACACUGGAACUGAGACACGGUCCAGACUCCUACGGGAGGCAGCAGUAGGGAAUCUUCCGCAAUGGGCGAAAGCCUGACGGAGCAACGCCGCGUGAGUGAUGAAGGUCUUCGGAUCGUAAAACUCUGUUAUUAGGGAAGAACAUAUGUGUAAGUAACUGUGCACAUCUUGACGGUACCUAAUCAGAAAGCCACGGCUAACUACGUGCCAGCAGCCGCGGUAAUACGUAGGUGGCAAGCGUUAUCCGGAAUUAUUGGGCGUAAAGCGCGCGUAGGCGGUUUUUUAAGUCUGAUGUGAAAGCCCACGGCUCAACCGUGGAGGGUCAUUGGAAACUGGAAAACUUGAGUGCAGAAGAGGAAAGUGGAAUUCCAUGUGUAGCGGUGAAAUGCGCAGAGAUAUGGAGGAACACCAGUGGCGAAGGCGACUUUCUGGUCUGUAACUGACGCUGAUGUGCGAAAGCGUGGGGAUCAAACAGGAUUAGAUACCCUGGUAGUCCACGCCGUAAACGAUGAGUGCUAAGUGUUAGGGGGUUUCCGCCCCUUAGUGCUGCAGCUAACGCAUUAAGCACUCCGCCUGGGGAGUACGACCGCAAGGUUGAAACUCAAAGGAAUUGACGGGGACCCGCACAAGCGGUGGAGCAUGUGGUUUAAUUCGAAGCAACGCGAAGAACCUUACCAAAUCUUGACAUCCUUUGACAACUCUAGAGAUAGAGCCUUCCCCUUCGAGGGACAAAGUGACAGGUGGUGCAUGGUUGUCGUCAGCUCGUGUCGUGAGAUGUUGGGUUAAGUCCCGCAACGAGCGCAACCCUUAAGCUUAGUUGCCAUCAUUAAGUUGGGCACUCUAAGUUGACUGCCGGUGACAAACCGGAGGAAGGUGGGGAUGACGUCAAAUCAUCAUGCCCCUUAUGAUUUGGGCUACACACGUGCUACAAUGGACAAUACAAAGGGCAGCGAAACCGCGAGGUCAAGCAAAUCCCAUAAAGUUGUUCUCAGUUCGGAUUGUAGUCUGCAACUCGACUACAUGAAGCUGGAAUCGCUAGUAAUCGUAGAUCAGCAUGCUACGGUGAAUACGUUCCCGGGUCU
rnacentral:rRNA from 1 species